rnacentral:rRNA from 1 species
GUGAGGAAUAUUGCGCAAUGGAGGCAACUCUGACGCAGCCAUGCCGCGUGCAGGAAGAAGGCGCUACGCGUUGUAAACUGCUUUUAACCGGGAAGAAACCCCAGGACGUGUCCUGGGUUGACGGUACCGGAGGAAUAAGCACCGGCUAACUUCGUGCCAGCAGCCGCGGUAAUACGAAGGGUGCAAGCGUUAUCCGGAUUCAUUGGGUGUAAAGGGUGCGUAGGCGGAGCGUUAAGUCAGUGGUGAAAUCCUGCAGCUUAACUGUAGACUUGCCAUUGAUACUGGCGCUCUUGAGUGCGCUUGAAGUGGGCGGAAUGUGCCGUGUAGCGGUGAAAUGCUUAGAUAUGGCACAGAACACCAAUUGCGAAGGCAGCUCACUAAGGCGAUACUGACGCUGAGGCACGAAAGCGUGGGGAUCGAACAGGAUUAGAUACCCCGGUAGUCC